UUCUUAGAGGGACUAUUGACUAUUAUCAAUGGAAGUUUGAGGCAAUAACAGGUCUGUGAUGCCCUUAGAUGUUCUGGGCCGCACGCGCGCUACACUGAUCAAGUCAACGAGUUUACAACCUUGGCCGGAAGGUCUGGGUAAUCUUUUGAAACUUGAUCGUGCUGGGGAUAGUCCAUUGCAAUUAUUGGACUUCAACGAGGAAUUCCUAGUAAGCGUGAGUCAUCAGCUCGCGUUGAUUACGUCCCUGCCCUUUGUACACACCGCCCGUCGCUACUACCGA
rnacentral:rRNA from 1 species